UUAAUGAGAGUUUGAUCCUGGCUCAGGACGAACGCUGGCGGCGUGCCUAAUACAUGCAAGUAGAACGCUGAGGUUUGGUGUUUACACUAGACUGAUGAGUUGCGAACGGGUGAGUAACGCGUAGGUAACCUGCCUCAUAGCGGGGGAUAACUAUUGGAAACGAUAGCUAAUACCGCAUAAGAGUAAUUAACACAUGUUAGUUAUUUAAAAGGAGCAAUUGCUUCACUGUGAGAUGGACCUGCGUUGUAUUAGCUAGUUGGUGAGGUAAAGGC
rnacentral:rRNA from 1 species